rnacentral:misc_RNA from 1 species
GUUGUCUUCCAAGCAAGAAAAGUCCCACAGAGGUAAAAGCAGAUAAAAAUGUAGAUGAGUAAAAAAGCACAAGCAAAGCUCCCCUUAGAGACUUAGCCAGCAGUAUAGCAUUGUCAUUCGGAUACUGCAAGGAGUUCUCUGGUAUGCUUUGAAUACCCUGGGCUAGUUCCAUGAAAGAAUCCCAAAAGCAACUCCAAUUACAGCUCCAAUAUUGGCUUUCACUGGUGUUACUUCAACCUGAAGUUCUCCAAACUUGAAGACUCUGGUUUCU